CCACCCGGGUGCACCCAGACACCCAGAGAGCGUUCAGAUUCCUCCCAAGUGCUCUCGCCGGACUCUCAAGUGAGACGGUCAAAUUGUCACUCUAUUCACCCGGGAGAGCGUAAAAACCACCCGGCUCCGUGAGCCGGGUGAUUUUUGAAUGAAGAUGAGUGGCAAUAAGUGCGGGCAAUAUUGAAAAAUCUAGUAAUAUUGUUUUUACAGAUAGGGCGAUCACGCAUUACCAAGAUGCCAACGCCGUUUGGAGACUUCAGAUUCCUACGGAGUGCGUUCUGAUUCCAUUAUCCUCUCAGACACUUUUCGUUAAACUCCGCCCAUCACCCGCUCACCCGACUAUCACCCAUCGGGUGAAGAAUCGGAACACAGCCACUAAUGGCGAAUU